CACAACUCUGCCCCCAAAAAUACGUCAUGCACAAAACCCCUGGUUUUUAGUGAGAGCCUGCAGGGAACGGCUCUAUUGCUCGUUCUGAGUUGAUGCCUUCCUUGACAUUUCUUGUGUUGUCGAAACAUCUUCUAUUCUCAAAUUACUGACUGCCCACCUGUCUGACCCGAUACCGAUGUUGGACCCUCAGGCUCUCGCGUCUCCUGUCCGGCCAGACUGAUGGAAGUUUCUGAAGUCAGCUCUUCUCCACCACCACCACAGGUCAGCUGCUCAUCGUCCAUCUUAUUCUCCACUACUGAUUACAUCCAAGCCAUUAGUGGCACUAUUACACUCCUGAAUACAUAAAACCUAUAUGGAUGUAUAAAAGACUUUUUAAAUUUUAAUUUAAAAGCCGUUUGACCAGUGGUAGGAUGGUCCCCCCUCAAAUGUGAGUCUUGGUCCUCCCAAGGUUUCUUCCUCCUCCUGCAGCUCUGAGGGAGUUUUUCCUUGCCUCCGCGCUCACUGGGGGUUCUGUAUUCUGUAUUUUCUAUGUUUAAUGUUUUGCCUGAUUCUUUGUCCUGUAAUCAUGUUUCUGUAAACUUCUUUGUGCCAACACCUGUUGUAAAAAAGCGCUAUACAAAUAAAUUUGAUUUGAUUUGAUAUAA